rnacentral:miRNA from 1 species
AGGGGUGGUGUUGGGACAGCUCCGU